AUGGCAUACACAGAGCCUCUCCUUUUCACCACGCCACACAACACCCACAGCCCCCGCGCCCUACACCGGGUCGGCGCCUUCGGUCCCCCCACCCCCGCCUCCACGCCGAGGAAGCCUGGCCAAGACUACGACGACGAGGACCCCCUUGCCGGCAGCAGCAGCAUGGUAGUGUCGAUGCGCGACGACGAGACCGGCGCGCUCGUGGCCACCGUCGGCGGCGAAGGCGACGAGCCGGAUGACGACCCGCUGGACGCGCCGCCGGUGCGGACGGCGAAGGCCGGGCUGGCGGUUUUCGCGGACGAGUCGCGCCGGCUGUGGGCCAUCGGCGCGCCGAUCGCGUUCAACAUCCUCUGCCUCUACGGCACCAGCUCCACCACGCAGAUCUUCGCCGGCCACAUUGGUAACCGCGAGCUCUCCGCCGUCGCCAUCGGCCUCUCCGUCGUCUCCAACUUCUCCUUCGGCUUCCUCCUGGGCAUGGGGAGCGCGCUGGAGACGCUGUGCGGGCAGGCGUUCGGGGCGGGGCAGGUGGCCAUGCUGGGCGUGUACAUGCAGCGGUCGUGGAUCAUCCUCACGGCCUCGGCCCUCCUCCUCUCGCCGCUCUACAUCUUCGCCGGGUCCAUCCUGCGGCUGCUCGGCCAGGAGGAAGCCAUCGCGGCCGCCGCCGGCGAGUUCACGCUGCGCAUCAUCCCGCAGAUGUUCGCGCUGGCCAUCAACUUCCCCACGCAGAAGUUCCUCCAGGCACAGAGCAAGGUGGUGGCGCUGGCGUGGAUCGGCUUCGCCGCCCUGAUCGCCCACGUCGGCCUGCUGGCCCUCUUCGUGUCCCUGCUCGGCUGGGGCAUCGCCGGCGCCGCGGCGGCCUACGACAUCUCCUCCUGGCUGACCGCGGUCGCGCAGGUGGCGUACGUGGUCGGGUGGUGCCGGGACGGGUGGACGGGCCUGUCCCGCGCGGCCUUCAACGAGCUGUGGGCCUUCGUCAAGCUCUCCCUCGCCUCCGCCGUGAUGCUCUGCCUCGAGAUAUGGUACAUGAUGGUGCUCGUGGUGCUCACGGGCCACCUCGACGACGCUGAGAUCGCCGUGGACUCCAUCUCCAUCUGCAUGAACAUCAACGGGUGGGAGGGGAUGCUGUUCAUCGGCCUCAGCGCGGCCAUCAGCGUGCGCGUGUCCAACGAGCUGGGCUCCGGCCGGCCGCGCGCCACGGUCCACGCCGUGGCGGUGGUGCUGGCGCAGUCGCUGGCGCUCGGGCUGGUGGCCAUGGUGCUGAUCCUGGCGACGCGGAACGAGUUCGCCGUCAUCUUCACGGGCGACCGGCACCUGCAGAAGGCCGUGGCCAACAUCGCCGGCCUGCUAGCGGUCACCAUGGUGCUCAACAGCAUCCAGCCCGUCAUCUCGGGCAUCGCCGUCGGCGGCGGCUGGCAGGCCGCCGUCGCCUACAUCAACCUCGGCUGCUACUACGCCUUCGGCCUCCCCCUCGGAUUCAUCUUCGGCUACCUCUUCCGAUGGGGCGUCAGUGGGAUUUGGGCGGGCAUGCUGUGCGGGACGGCGUUGCAGACGGGGAUCCUCAUGUACAUGGUCUUCAAGACCGACUGGAAAGCCGAGGCAUCGAGGGCGCUGGAGAGGGUGAGAUUGUGGGGAGGGCAGCACGCGAAGCUUCCCACCACAGACAGCGAAGAGACUAGCUAG
rnacentral:rRNA from 1 species